GAAGGAUCAGCUAGCUAAAGACCUAACGCCUAAGGAAGCAGCCGCAAUACAGAGUAAACCCCUCAGCUGUUGAGCUCGAUCUUCUCCGCAAAAAUGAGCAGCCUUCUACUCUUCUUCUGGACAGAAGAGGCCCCCCCUCUCCCUUGAUUCCCAUCUAAAAAAAAACUCACAAACACACACGAGUUUGAAAGUCAAAAAAUCAACACCAGAUCUAAAAAAGAGUAGAAAAAGCUCUGAAAAGCAAAAAACCAAAGAAAAAUGAUGAGCUCCAGCUUGUAUCAGUUUAUGAGUUUUUAUUUGGCAAUUUUAAGGCCAUAUUGCUGCUGUUAAGUUUCAUUGCUGUCAAGCUAUUUUUUUUGGAUCCGUGGAAUUGCUAAGCUCCAACUUGCUGAAUCUAGCCUUCAUUCGGCUUUUCUUUGCCUUCUAAAUCUCGCCCCUGUUAAUUAGCACAAUGAGAGAUUUAGGAAUUUGGCUAUUGCUUGCUCGUAGAGAGCGUUAACUGUUGAGUGUACCUUUCGAGUCGUCGAGUUCGAGAUUCCGACGUGGUCUUGGUUAACAGAUCCGUUCGUAUUGAACUUCAUUGGUCCGAUCUUCUUUGUAAAUGGGCAGGGGUCACUUUGCUAAAUUGAAAGCUGCAAAAGAUCCUGAUACUGGACCCUAUAGUCCGUAGUUCGAGGUUGCUGCCUUCAGUCCAGUGGAGACCCGAGGUAGUCCAUCAAGCAUUUGCAGGCCUUGGCAUCCCCUUCUAUCAUAUUUCCAUUCUGUUUUUAUCUAUUUCUGAGACAGAUGUGUAUUUUUCCUUGUUCAGACCACUAUUUGUAGUAUUCUUAGACAGUCCGUGAGAUUGUGACACUAGUUUUGGGUGGAGUUUUAUUAUGGAUUCGUAUUUGUAUUAAGUUAAAUUGUUAAAUUU